AGAUAAAACCUAUAUUAAUACUUCCAGCUCAGCGUAAAAUUUCUCACAUUAAAGAAUGCAGAUUCCCAAAAUAUGUGAAGGACAAUGAAAUUUUCGCAAAGUUCAUAAUCGUUAAGAUCUUUUAAAAUACUUUGCUGUAUAUCUGGGCGAUUGUAGACGGUGACCUUGGGUUUUUAACGCUUAACAAAAACGAGCAUUAAAUUUGUUAGCAUUACAGUUUUUGCAUUUUCCCUCAUGCACUAUUAAGAGAAGUAUUCGCCUCAGAUAUAAUAAAUUGACACCAAGUGCCCCAGAUUUUUCAAGAAAAAUUCAGGAACCUCAAACUGAACUACUGCUUUACGGAGGAGGGAAUAAGGCAUUACUUACAGCUUAAGCAUGACAAGAAAAAUUCCAGCAAUGUUUUUUGAUUUAAUUUAAUCACUUGCUCUGAUGAUAGAUAUGAGAUAUGAUCUUAUUUAUUCAACACCCUUAGGGACAUUGACAAAGAAUUUUUGAGGUGGUUUUCUACAAAUGCCACCAACAACUACUGAUUAACGUGAAUCGACCGAUCUUGAAUCUUUGGGGCAAAAUUUAGAGGCUAAGGGUUAAAAACAAGGAUUGAAAGAUUUUCGUGCUUGUUGGUUCCACUGGGUAACAUACUCUUGACCUUUUCACGACAUUUCGAUAAGACUUACCUGCAAGUGAUAGCUCUUGUGAAAUUAAUACUACGAAACUGACACUUGGUUUUUCUGAGAUGUGGUUAAAUUGCACUUUUUUUUCUAAUUUUUCAGCUUGACUGCAUUGUAGUCAAUUGUUUCAUUUCAGCCCUCUGUUUAUGACUGAUGGCCUUUUUUAAAACGAUUGAGGAGAUAUGAGCCCUAUUUCUAAAAGAAUUCUCGAAAAUCUACUGAUGAAUCUGUUACCAAACAUAGACUAUUGUAAAAUCUUACGUUCAAUCCAGCACAUCUCAAGACAGUCAAAAAAUCUCUGCUUGACUCCGAUCCCACAAAUACUUCCAAGGAACAGAUUUCCAAGGUGACGUAUUGGAACCAUGAAAUCGUCAUUUAAUAACCAGAAGUCCCGAAAGAUACCAUUCGGAAGCAAGCUGUUAUAAGCUCGCAAGACUCUUGCAGGUUCUCAACCAUCUCAAACGAACUUGCGAGGUUAUAAUCAAUCAGAAUGCUGCCUUGAUGAUAAAAACUGUAUUUACCAAUGCAAAAUAUAGAACACCUUUUAACACCGUUAGUUAUGUUCAUUUGAGCUGAAGAAGGCGUUGUAAUUAAAGCGCAAGGGAAAAUGCACAUUUUCUACAAAAUCUCCUCAAUUUUAGGAAAGGCCAUUUUAGCCGUACUGCACACUUGAGAAAACUGGCGAACAUUUUACUUUUAAUUGCCAUAACCUUCUUAGGAGUAAAUGUAAGGACUGAUUGCAAGUCCUCGAGAAUGUUAAGGGAAUGAAUUUCUGUGGCUACUUCGGCAAACCUUGAUUUAAAAGUGAAAAAACAGAGUGGACUUUCUGAGAUUUUAUUUGGGUUUCAAGUUUGAAAAUUUGUACUUAAACUGUAGUUUACCAGCGCUUAAUUAUAGAAACUAAAUUGCAGAACCUUAAAAACGUGUUACUCGAAACCACUGCGUGUCGCGAAUUUUCCUCUCAACUGUUGUUUAUGUUUAGAGCUAAAUAAAUAUUCGACUUUUGGUCACGUUUAAAAUGCGCAACUAUUUUAGAACAGACAACUGGAGAACUUGAAUAAAUUACGGUAUGUCCUGAUUCAA